rnacentral:rRNA from 1 species
ACGUACACUCCUGCGGGAGGCAGCAGUGGGGAAUAUUGCACAAUGGGCGCAAGCCUGAUGCAGCCAUGCCGCGUGUAUGAAGAAGGCCUUCGGGUUGUAAAGUACUUUCAGCGGGGAGGAAGGCGAUAAGGUUAAUAACCUUGUCGAUUGACGUUACCCGCAGAAGAAGCACCGGCUAACUCCGUGCCAGCAGCCGCGGUAAUACGGAGGGUGCAAGCGUUAAUCGGAAUUACUGGGCGUAAAGCGCACGCAGGCGGUCUGUCAAGUCGGAUGUGAAAUCCCCGGGCUCAACCUGGGAACUGCAUUCGAAACUGGCAGGCUAGAGUCUUGUAGAGGGGGGUAGAAUUCCAGGUGUAGCGGUGAAAUGCGUAGAGAUCUGGAGGAAUACCGGUGGCGAAGGCGGCCCCCUGGACAAAGACUGACGCUCAGGUGCGAAAGCGUGGGGAGCAAACAGGAUUAGAAACCCGGGUAGUCCCAUGAU